UGGCAAGGGUGCAAGUCCAGCUCCAGUUAAUUCAAUGGAAGAGAAGAAAUCAAGAUUGUAGAGUCUGAGACUCAGCAGUAUCACGAGAGUCUGUGAAGGAGACUGAGGAACAGCCAGACGGAAAGAUGGAAACUUGAGUUCUGAGAAGAGGGGAGUUGGAUACCAUUGAGGAGUCUGGUAAAAUUUAGUCUAAGAGCCCUGAAACCUGUGAAGUUCCAGUAGAUGGCGGCCUGUCUGACAGCUGUCCAAGAAGCACCCUUGUUUUGAACCAGAUAGAUUUGAAGUCAAGAAUGUGCAGCCAACCCCCAGAAAACUCAGCCACCAGAUCAGCUCUCUCUAUGAACACAACUAGACAGCCUCUGCAAAGCUGGGAUUUAUACUG